rnacentral:tmRNA from 1 species
CGAUUCUUUUCAGUUGAAAAUUGCCAACGCCGCCCUCAUAAUCGUCGCAUGGUUGUAACUCCGGCAAUCUGGAGGCGUUCUGGACAGGGGUUCGAUUCCCCUCACCUCCACCUAAGGGCGGUGGCUCACUGUUCUUAGGUGGGGGUGCACCGGUUUCGACAGGGCGGGCAAAGGUGCGCAGGCAACCCGAAAGGCGACGAACGUAAAUCGCGCAAAUCCAUAAACGCCAACGAUGAGCGUUUCGCACUGGCCGCUUAAGGCCUAUGCCGAGGCUGCUUUAGCCUUGUAACCAAAGAAAAGCCGGCGGGGACUUCGGUCCCCGUCGUCA